GCUGGGUGUGUUGGUAUGCACCUGUAAUCCUAGAUACUUGGGAGGCUGAGGUGGGAGGAUCACUUGAGCCCAGGAGUUCAGAUGAGCUACGAUCUUGCCACUGCACUCCAGCCUGGGCAACAGAAUGAGACUCUGUCUCUU
ensembl:misc_RNA Metazoa_SRP Metazoan signal recognition particle RNA